UACGUAGCCCUUCGCAUCUCGUACUCACUCUUCACGGCCUUCCGGGUCUGGGGAGUGGGGAAUGAGGCGGGGGUCGGCCCGGGGCUCGGAGAAUGGGCAGUGGUUGGUUUAGGAGCAUGCAUAUCGCAGUUCUGGACAGUGAGAUGUGAGAGGAGAUUUGCUGGAGGGAGAGAUUCUGAGAAGGCUUUCGGACCCUUAAGAAGAGGCAGAAGGAAGGAUGUUAUUAUGUGAGGAUGGGAUACCUGCAGCCACCUUGAAGACCAGGUGGAACAAACUGGGAAAAGAACCAACACACUGAGGAUCACAGAGAAGAAACAUGGAAAGCUUCUGGGAUCUUGUUGCUGUCCCUGACCCACUCAUUUUACCCACUCUGGAAAUGCCUUAAUGUUUCCUGUUACUUUGAGAUAACAAAUUCAGUUUUUUCAGGCUAUUUCUGUUAGUUUCAGCUGAAACCAUCCCAAGCUACAGAUUCAGGAGAAAAGGAGGGAAAUUUUCUUGUUUCAAAUGAAAUUUUAUAAUUGAUUUAAAGUCCUUUGGGUUUUGGGUGAACUUAAUUUAUUGCUAUUCAUUUGAAUACAGAAAUGGAUGAGAGGAGAAGACUUUUGUAUGGGAAAUGGUUGCUGGUUGCAAAUCUCACUGAAUAAACUCUUAUUCCUGAUUAUGCUGGAUAUUGAGUUAUUGUCCAUAUCAGGUCGUUAAAUUAUUUUAGUGCCCAGGUGUACAGUUUAUAAAACCAAAGAGUAGAGAUAUGUAGGAAUUGUCUUAUUGCCAUUAUUCCUUGAGAACUAUUAACAAAUGAUUCAGGAAUAUUGGCUUUUCAAUUAACUUGAAGUAAGUUUCUUAGGAUGCUUUGCUUUUAGUUACUGCAUUUUUAGCAAGUACCUGGUAAUCUGGGGGACUGUGGCUCAAAGUAGUUAAACUGAAUUUGAAAAGGAUCAGGACUGGCUAUAAAGUGAGACGGAGUGGGUCCAGGUACCUGUGGAUAUGGUACUCUCCUUAAUGCGUAUUUCUCUCUCAUUAUGUUCCAAAGCCAAUGAAAAGCCAAUUGUAUUCAUUAUCCUGGGGGUAUAGUCUUAAUUCUGCCACUUUUCCAUGUUAAUGUAUUAAGUAUAAAGGUUGUGAAAUCCAUUUCAGAUGUUACUGGUUUGGGAAGUAUAAGGUUACAGAUUGAAUGGCAUUUAAAUUUCUUUUUUCCUCUCUCUCCGUUUUUUUUUUUUUUUUUGAGAUAGGGUCUUGCUCUGUCACCCAGGCUGGAAUGCAGUGGCACACUCACUGCAGUCUUGAGCACCCUGGCCCAAAUAAUCCUUCCUACCUCAGCCUCUCUAGUAGUUGGGACUACAGGUGCAUGCCAUCCCUCCUGGUUAAUUUUUGUAUUUUUUGUAGAGACAGGGUUUGACUGUAUUGCCCAGGCUGGUAAAUUAAUUAAUUAAUUUACUUAUUUGUUUAUUUUGAGACAGAGUCUCUCUCUGUUGCCAGGCUGAAGUGCAGUGGCUCAGUCUCGGCUCACUGCAACCUCCACAUCCCGGGUUCAUAGCGAUUCCCCAUCCCCAACCUCCCGAGUAGCUGGGACUACAGGCAGUGAGCCACCACGCCUGGCUAAUUUUUUGUAUUUUAGUAGAGACGGGGUUUCACCAUGUUGACCAGGGUAGUUUCAAUCUCCUGACUUCGUGAUCCACCUGCCUUGGCCUCCCAAAGUGUUGGGAUUACGAACAUGAGCCACGCGCCCAGCCUAAAUUUCUUUAUUUUUAAAAUAGAAAUGGUGGGGAAAUGUACCAUCUGGGUCACUGAAAAGCUGGAGCAAAGACGUAUGGAACUCAGGGAUAUGGACUUUACUUUGUAUCCCUGGUGGUGGGGGGUGGUAUGUCCUUGCUGAUGUAGACUUUAAGAACCAGGAGAUCCUGAAGUGUGUGUAUAAAUAUUACUUUUAAAAAGAAGGUAGAUAUUAUUUAUCUUUAAUAGCAAUAAUAUAAGGCCUGCGUCUAAAAAGAUUCUAGGGUAAUAAGAAAAUCCUCAGGCUGGGCACGGUGGCUAAUGCCUGUAAUCCCAGCACUUUGGGAGGCCAAGGUGGGCAGAUCACUUGAGGUCAGGAGUUAGAGACCAGCCUGGCCACGAUGGUGAAACCUCGUCACUAUUAAAAAUACAACAAUUAGCCAGUCAUGGUGAUGCAAGUUUAUAAUCCCAGCUACUUGGGAGGAUCACUUGAACCUGGGAGGUGGAGGCUGCAGUGAGCCAAGACUACACCACUAUACUCCAGCCUGGGCAACAGAGUGAGACUGUAUCAAAACAGAAAAAAAGAAAUGAAUCCUCUCAGUCUGUGAAGACUAGUCAUACACUGUUGCUUGGGGUUCAAGGGAAGCUGCCUUUUUGUGUGGGAGUAUCCUUUCUGAUAAAAGAGAUUCAGUAACUUAGUCAAGCUUUACCCUGUGAACGAAGAGGUGUGUGUGUGUGUGUCGGUGUGUGUGUGUGUUGUGGGGGGGGGGGGCGUGCAUUCUUUUCCUGCCUUCUGGUUUUAUAGAAGCACUCAAAUACUCAUUGGAUCUUGGAAAGAUGACUCUUCCUUUAUUUAAGAUGCAGUAUUAUGCUGACUAGUAAAAGAAUCUUGAUUAUUUGCUAAUGGGCCAAAGGCAAGUACAAGAAAAAUAGGAAAGCUAUUAUUACUGGUUUUAAUUUUGGAAUUUUUAUGCCUUUUUCUAUUUUGUGUUAUAGUUUUAUAUUGCUAUCAUUUCUGCCCCUUAUUUGGUACUGAUGCCUCAUAUCAGGGAUAUGACGUAUACCAUAGAUAGAUCAUUAAGGGUAAGAUGUAAUAGCAGGGAAGUUAUGUCAUCUAUUCUUAGGUUCUCCCCAUACUCCUAUAGUUAUUCUUUUUUUUUUUUUUUUUGAGACAGUGUCUUGCUCUGUUGCCAGGCUCCAGGCUGGCGUGCAGUGGUGCGAUCUCGGCUCACUGCAACCUCCGCUUCCCGGGUUCAAGCAAUUCUCCUGCCUCUCAGCCUCCCGAGUAGCUGGGACUACAGGCAUGCGCUAGCACGCCCAGCUAAUUUUUAUAUUUUAGUAGAGACGGGGUUUCACGAUGUUGGCCUGGAUGGUCUCAAUCUCUUGACCUCGCGAUCCGCCCGCCUCGGCCUCCCAAAGUGCUGGGAUUACAGGCGUGAGCCACCGUGCCCAGCCUCCAUAGUUAUUCUUUUAUUUAAUUGAUUCAAUAAAUAAUUGAUCACCUCUGGAAUGUCAGACACUUUGCAGUGUCUAGGGGUGUAGCAGUAAACAAAAUGGGCAAAAUCUUUGCUCUCAUGGAGCUUGUGGUUUAAUAAGGAAGAUGGACAGUAAGCAAAUAUUUGGUAAGUUUGGUGGUGAAAUGUACUAGGGAGAAAAAUAAAGUAGAUGAUAGAAUAAUAGAGGAAGAUGGAGAGGAAGUUUGUAUCCCUGCUUUUUUAUUUAGGAUGGUGAUUGAGGAAGAUUUUCUCAUGUUGACAUUUAGACUGAGACCUGAAUGAAAUUUCUUUACUCUAACUAUACUUGCCUCCUUGCUAUUUCUUGUGUAUUUACAGCACAAACGUUGUACUAAUUUAUCCCUUUGCCUAGAAUACUCUUCUGAGAGAUAGUCACAAUUUAAAUAUAUUUUAUAGGGAGAAGGAUUGGGAGUUAUCAAUUGUGUUACCAGGCAAAUGGAAUUUUCUUUUCUCUUAGCGAUGGGUCUGGUUGCCACUGAAUUUUGUAGAAUUAUGUUUUCUUUAGUGAUCACUUAAAAUAACAAGCGUAAUUUGUUUAAAUAUACAUGAUGUUUAGGAUAAUUUUUUUUGAAGACUUAAUAUCACCCGUUAUUUUUGUCCCACUUGUUACCGUACAAAAAUUAAAGUGGACUAUCUGUAACAAAAACUAAGUUGUCUUGGUCACUUUGGGCUGAGUGACCAAGACUGGAUGGUUGAAACAAAUACCAUAGACUGGAUGGUUGAAACAAAACAAAUUUAUUUCUUAUAAUUCUGGAGGCUGGGAAGUCCAAGAUCAAGGCUUCUGAUGUCUGGUGAGGGCGUGCUUCCAGCUCGCAGAUGGCUGUCUCUCAUGGUAUCUUCACAUGCUUGUGUCCCAAAGUCCCCACCCCCAAAUACUAUCACACUGGGGAUUUAAGCUUCAACAUACAAAUUUGGGGGGAUACAAACCUUCAGUUCCAUAGCAUGAGUUAUUAUAUUUUGUCAGUUGACCUAAUAUAACCCGAUAUCCUGGGUAAUAGCAGAGAGGUAAUCACAUUACUUAUUGGUAAGCUGAAAAUGAAUGACAGUUUUAUUCUAAAGCAAUUUUUAAAGCAACAGUAGGCUGUUGUUUUACAUACUUCUCUGAAAACUAUACAUUUAUUUACUUUAUCUAGAAGUGGAGUGAGUGUGGAUCUCUUUAUUAAUUUUUCUCCUAAACAUACUGAAAAUAUUUUGCAUUACACCCUUAGGACUGAUUAGGUUUAUAAAGAAAAGGCAUCUGUGAAUGAAAUGCUGGAUUGCAUCUCCCAUUGGAUCAACUCAACUAAUUAUGCAAAAAAUAAAAAUAACCCCAUUUUUGCUGAACAUAGGAAUUUUGUCAUUGCAAAAGAACUGAAUGGUUCACCACAUUCUCAUGGAGACGUCUUACUGAGGCUGCAGUAGCUGGGUGUACUAUUGUUGAAAAGGAGAAUUUCUAUUUGUAUGUAUUCUUUAGGUUCCUGUGUGCCUAAAAUGGAUCAUUUCUACCAUUGUGUUUUAUCUUCCUUGAUUUCCACAUCAUCUUUUAUUUGUACUUUGUAGAUAGUAGUAUUUGGAGCAUAUUUGGCUAUUAGCCAGUUAGUGAUUAUCUUUUAUAAUGUUUUUAAAGGAUAACAGAGAUAAAUUAAAUUUCAAAACAUUACUGAAACAUCCUUCCCAAUAGCACCUAUAACCUUCUUUCUCGCCCAUACCUUUUCUAGAACUAUAGAACAGAUCAAAUGAGAUUUCCCUUUUUUUUUUUUUAAGCUAACUCUGCCCUCCAGUGGAGAAAACACAGGGCAGUGAAAUAGCUCAGGUAACAUGUAGCAGAAAGGAAAGGAUAUAACACAGCCAGGUAAAAUUCAAGCUGCAUAGCUAUUUUCUACAUAAAAGAGAGGAGUUGUUUUCACCCCUUAUAAGCAAGACUAUUUUUUUUUUUUGACAGAGUCUCGCUUUGUCACCCAGGCUAGAGUGCAAUGGUGUGAUCUGGGCUCACUGCAACCUCUGCCUCUCAGGUUCAAGUGAUUGUUGUUCCUCAGCCUCUUUAGUAGCUGGGAUUACAGGCGUGCACCACCAUGUCCAGCUAAUUUUUGUAUUUUUAGUAGAGACAGGGUUUUGCCAUGUUGGCCAUGCUCAUCUGUAACUCCUGACCUCAGGUAAUCUGUCUGCCUUGGCCUCCCAAAGUGUUGGGAUUACAGGUGUUGCCCACAAGCAAGACUAUUAUGCAUAAGUCUUCCUCUUUGUGAGUUUGUUGAUGAAUCAAAGAAGGAUAUAUUGUCACUUCUCUGACUUAAUGUCUUUGAUGCAAUGCUUUGCAGCCUUUUGUCCACUCUGGUAGGAUGUACCAGAAGCAUUAGGCAAGUCUAUCAGGAGGUGAGUAAUUGGAUUUUUUUCUCCCCUGGAAUGAACUCAAAAAAUAACUUUUAAUUUUUUAAACUUUUUGAAAAGACCAAAAAAAAAAAAACCCUUAAGUGGUUAUAAACAAGAAACAUUUUGCUGCUACUUGUGUAUUCAAAGCACUCAGAAAACUGUGAACUGACUACGACUCUCCCCCUUUUUUGAAUAAAGAAGGGAGAGAGUUGGCUUGAAUUCUGUGACUUGGCCUCAACUUGAUCUCUUGGUGAACACUGGGCUUCAUCAUGGUGAAUGGUGACUGUGUGAUUGAGCACCUGAGAAAGUUACAGAGGCAAGUGUUCAGAACAUGGGCUUGCAUGUGUGCAACUCUGGGCUGGGGAAUGGAGCCAGGGUCAGGGGAUGCUAAGCUGCUGGUGUUUCUAUCCUUCUAGGGAGGGAGCAUUAGAUCACUCAGUUGAAGCUGAAAUGUUAAAGGAGGCUUGAUGGUUUUGUGUUGGUGGAAAUUUGGAGAUAGGUUUUCCUAAAAGCGUAUAGUGGGUGGUAGUUGAGAAACACUAGACAGAGGCUUUCAUUUUCUUAACCCUUACAAAAACCUGAGCCAACUAUCCUUACAGUGAGUUGUCAUUUGAAGUUUUCUACCUACUCAAGGAAUGUGUUUUCUUCUUUAUCUUCUUUUAAUGGAGCAUAUCUUCUGCAAACCUUUUUACAGUUAGAGUGAUUCUUAAAAUUUAGGCAUAUACAGGACAAUUAGACAUAAAAAUACGUGACUUACAGGUUUUAAAGCAAGGAUCCUUGCAUGGUAGACUUUCAAAAGGAUAACCUUCUGCAAAACCACAUAAACAUCAGAGACUGCCAGAGGGAACUCACUUUUAGAAAAAAACAUGAUAUGUGAAUUUUUAGUAAUAAAUUUUGAAAUUCUUGAAGGGAAAUGAUAUAUGAUUUAAGUUUCUUAAAAAUAAUUUAUAUUUAAUUUUUAUUUUAAAUAAUUAUUGUUUUAAGAUCUGAUUCAUUCUGAGCUAUAAUUGACUCUAGAGGGUGCUGAUGAGCACUGAAGAUGUCCUAAAGAUUUAAAUUGAAGAUUGUUUUUAUUAAAAUCAAGUUUCCUUGAGGUUUUAAUCUAGUAUUUGAAAAUAAACACAUAUUUUGCCCUCCCAAGAGAGCCUAGAGCAAAAUACUUAGUGGUUUUUUUUUUUUUUGAGAUGGUGCUUGCCCUGUUGCCCAGGCUGGAGUGCAGUGACACGAUCUCAGCUCACUGCAACCUCCACCUCCUGGGUUCAAGUGAUUCUCCUGCCUCAGCUUCCCAAAUAGGUGGGACUACAGGUGCAUGUGCCACCAUGCCUGGCUAAUUUUUGUAUUUUUAGUAGAGAUACGGUUUCACCAUGUUGGCCAGGCUGGUCUUGAACUCUGACCUCAAGUGAUCCACUGGCCUGGUCCUCCCAAAGUGCUGGGAUUACAGGUGUGAGUCACUAUGCCUGGCCUCAUUGUUGUUCUUUUGAAAGUAGGUAAAUAAUUUACCACUGUUCUUAGAAACUCUUUGAAAAUUCCACUGAAUUUGUGUGAUUUCUGUAAACUAACUUUGAAUCCUGCUUUUGAAAGUGUGUUUAAUGUUUCAAAAGAAAAGAACCUACCUCAUGCAUAUAAAAUAUAAAUCUUAGUACUGGAUUAGUGUAUUAUUUUAUAAAUUUAGUUAUGUUUGCAGAAAUAUUUAUUUUAUCUUUAGAAAGAAACUUCAAAAAGUACACUUUAAAGUUAGAUUUUACAGAACUAACAUUUAGCUAUUAGAGUAAUGUAUGCUUCUUAUAUUUUUAGCAGGUAGACUACUUUUAAACUAUAAUAUGUUUUUUUGUUUGCUCAUUUGUUUGUUUGGUUAGUUUUUUUCUGAGACAGAGUCUUGUCUGUUGCCCAGGCUGGAGUGCAGUGGUACAAUCACAGCUUACUGUAGCAUCAACCUCUCGGGCUUAAGUGAUCCUCCCACCUCGGCCUCCUGCAUAGCUGUGACUACACAUGUGUACUACCACACCCGACUAAUUUUUGUAUUUUUAGUAGAGACAGGUUUUGCCUUGUUGCCCAGGCUGGUCUCAAACUCCUGGGCCCAAACAAUUUGUGCGCCUUGGCCUCCCAAAGUGCUGGGACCACAGGCAUGAACUACCAUGCCCAGCCUACAGUGUGCUGUAUUAAUUUGAAAAAACUUUUCACUUUUCAGAUAGGGAAGCUUUUAGAAAAUUGCUGUCUUAACCCAAACUCCAAAGAUGGUGAUGAUAAAGAUAUACAUUGUUAAGCAAAAAUAAAAUUUGAAGGGCCUCCUAACCUCCUGCAGCUAUCUGAAUAGACUCCCUCAUCAGCAAGGGCACUCUAAAAUUUAACUUGAAACACUGAUUCAGGUCAUGAAGUGGGGGUUGGAUAUGCCUCAUUAUACCCCUCCGACAUUAACAUCAACACAGACCUUAAGUCUGAUAAGAAACAUUUACAAUCUAUUUUCUCUGAACCCUGCAACUUGGAGGCUUCAUCUGUAUGAUAAAACUUUGGUCUCCAUCAGGCGUGGUGGCUCACACCUGUAAUCCCAGCACUUUGGGAGGCCAAGGCGGGUGGAUCACGAGGUCAAGAGAUUGAGACCACCUGGCUAACAUGGUGAAACCCCAUCUUUACUAAAAAUAUGAAAAUUAUCCGGACAUGGUGGCGCAUGCCUGUAGUCCUAGCUACUCAGGAGGCUGAGACAGGAGAAUCGCUUGAACCUGGGAGGUGGAGAUUGCAGUGAGCCGAGAUCGUGCCACUGCACUCCAGCCUGGCCACAGAGUCUGGACAAAAGAAAACAAACAAAACAAAAAAACCCCCUUGGUUUCCAGAACCCCUUAUCUUAACCCAGACUGUUUUUUUCUACUGAUAAUAACUCUUUCAACCAAUUGCCAGUCAGAAUACGUUUAAAUCUACCUAUGACCUGGAAGCCCCUCUCUCCUACCGAGUUGUCCUCCCUUUCCAUAUCUAACCAGUGUAAAUCUUACAUAUAUUGAUUGGUGGACUAUGUCUUCCUAAGAUGUAUGAAAGCCAGCUGAAUCCUACCUGCCCUGGGGCAGAGCCUCUGAGGCUGUGUCACGGUAUGUGUUUAACCUUGGCAAAAUUAACUUUCUAAAUUGAGUGAGACCUCUCUCAGAGAUUUUUAGUUCACAACGUUAACAAAAGUCCUGUGUUAUAGUGAGAAAACUUUGCUAAACAAAAUGAAUUAUUCUUAAUUGGAGUAUUAGUCACUUCAAAGAAUGAAUGUUAAUGUAAACUUUACAUUAUGUUCUACCUAUGAAAAAGUGAUGUAUUUCCAGACUACCCUUUGUUUAACAUUUCUUCAGAAAUAUCACAACUGUUUAAUUACUGCAGGCAGAGAAUCAUAGUAGAAAAAUUCUCUCAGUAAUUUGACAUGAAACCUAUGUUUUACUCAUUGAAGGCAGUGUUAUCCAACAGAACUUUUUGUGGUGAUGGAAAUAUUCUAUAUCUACACUGUCCAAUUUGGUAGUCACCAGCUAUUGAGAGCUUGAAAUGUGGCCAGUGUUACUGAUGAACUGAAUUUUUAAUUUUGUUUUAUUUUAAUUAAAAAUUAAAUUAAUAGCGACUUGUGUCUGGUGGCUACCAGGUUGGAUGGCAUUGAUUUUAGGUCCUUCUGCUAGGUGAUAGAUGUAUCGGGGAUGGAAUUAUGACUGGUGGUACAUAUGUGUAUCUGUGCAGUCCUUUGAACUUUUAUAAACCUGCCUGGGUAUUAUAACAUGCAAACACCUUGUUUCCAAAUAGACACAUUUAUGUGAAAAGAAUUGGCCCUUUGGAUGUAUCUCAAACCCUGAAGGUUUUCUUUUGUGCUUUUGAGUUAAAGUGUAGAUAGCAUCAUACAAGAGGUGACUGCAAAAUGGAGAGACUGAUGAAAACAAAACAAAAGCAACCCCAAACCAGAAUUUAUGUCCACUGCGUAGGGAUUUUAUUUGGAAGUUGGUAUGCUUUUCUGAAUGUCCUUAAGUGUAGCAAGUCUUCCUACUUUGAGGGUAAACUUGGGUAUUAUAAAGAGGCAAUUUGUACUUAUGUCUGGUAAAUAAUGAUAAAAUACUUGAAUAAUGCUUUAUAAUUUGCCAGGCAGUUGCAAUUUUAUCUUCUUGGAAUAUUAGCCCCAUUUUACAGACAAGAGAACCAUGAUUUAAUCAAGGUUUUAAGGCUCAUUCAUUUCACAAACACUUAUUGAUCACUUACUGUUCAUGUAGAUUUCUAGGUUAGGAAUGAAGUAGCAGUUCCUCCUCGGAGGAAUUAACAAUCUAGUCGGGACAAUUAAAGAAAUGAAAUUAUUAUAGUAUACUCAAUAGGAUAAGAGAUAUAGGUGCAUAGGAUGCAGUGGAAGAAGAAGGAGAAACAUCUGGCAUGGUGGUGAGACCUGAGGGAGUCAGGAGUUUCCUGGGUGAAGGAGGCAGGGGAAGGGUGCUCCAGAAGAGGCUAUGCCAGGAGCAAAGGUGUGAAGGUGCUGGUGUUCUAAAUCAGAAUAAAUUUAGUACAUAGAAGGUCCCUGAAGUACAUAGAAGGUGCACAAAAUUUACUAGUGGUCUUAUAUCAUUUUGACCUUGUUUUUUUUCUAGCUCAGUCUGAAGAAAGGCUGGGCUAAAAAUAGCUCCUGGUACAGUGAUAAAGCAUCCAAGUAACGAUUUCAAGGAGAAAGUUAAGACUAGAUUUAGUUAUUUGGCAAACACUAACUUAAAAUAUUGAUGUGCUAAUAAGAAAUCAUCUUACGUAUUAAAGCAGAUCCUUAGAGGCCUGUUUUUGUUCCUCUUACUGGAAUAUCAAUUCUAUAAGGGCUUCAAUUCACUGUUUUCCCAGGGCCUAGAACAGUACCUGACAUAUAUUAGAAGCUCAGUAAAUAUUUGGUAUAUGAAGAAAUCAAUCCUAGGCUGUUAUCUGAAAAGUCACUAUGAAUGCUUAAACCAUAUUAGAAAUGUGUAUUUUAAAAAUUCAAGAAUUCACGCAUUUCCAUUAUUCAGACUAGGCUUUUCUCCAGUGUCUCAGAUACAUACUCCUAUGUAACAAACUUUCCUAAAAGUUAGUGAUUAAAAAAUAGCCAUAUUAUUGCUUAUGAUUUUGUGGAUCAGGAGUUUGGGCAAAGCUUAUUAGAGACAACUUUUUUCUAUUCCACAUGGUAUUGGCCAGGAUUAGAGGGUUCGUGGUGGCCUCACCUCCAUGCCUGGGGCCUUGAUACUAGUUGUUACCUAGGAAGCCUCAGUUUUCUUCCCUGUGGCCUCUCCAAUGGUCUCUCAUUAUUCACUAGACUAGGUUGAGCUUCUGUACAUCGUACUGAGAUUGUUCCACGGUAAAAACAGAAGUUGUAAGGUAUCUUAAGGCUUUGACCUGAAAGUUAUAGACUGUCAGUUCUACCAUAUUCUUUUUUUUUUUUUUUGGAGAUAGAGUCUUGCUCUGUCGCCCAGGAUGGAGUGUAGUGGCACCAUCUCGGCUCACUGUCACCUCCACCUCCUGGGUUUAAGCAAUCUCAUACCUCAACCUCCCAAAAAGCUGAGAUUAGAGGCACGUGCCACCACACCCAGCUCAUUUUUGUACUUUUAGUAGAGAUGGGUUUUCACCAUGUUGCUCAGGCUGGUCUCAAACUCCUGACCUCAAGCAGUCUGCUUGCCUUGGCUUCCCAAAGUGCUGGGAUUACAGGCGUGAGCCCCUGCACUCAGCCAGUUCUACCAAAUUCUGUUGGUCAAAGCAAGUCAGAGGACCAGCUCAGAUUUAAGUGGAAGGGAAAAGAUUCUACCUUUUGAUGGGAAAGAGUCAAGUUCCUAUAGCAAAGUGGCAUGAGAUCGAAGGUAUUGUGGAGCUAUCUUUGGAAACAGGUUGCUACAGUCUGCCCUCUGAACAUAACAAUUCACAUUUCUUCCACAUGCAGAAUAUACUUUACUCCUCUCUUGGAAGUCUUAUCCCAUUAUGGCAUCCACCUGAAGUCUAGUAUCUUUUCAUCUAACUAAAGUCCAGAUGCAUAUGAGAUUUCUUAGGCACAGUUGCUCCAGGACAACUUCUUUCUUUUCUUUUCUUUUUUUUUUUCCAAGACAAUUUGCUCACCCAGGCUGGAGUGCAGUGGCGUGAUCUUGGCUCACUGCAACCUCCUUCUCCUGGGUUCAAAUGAUUCUCUUGCCUCAGCCUCCCAAGUAGCUGGGAUUACACAGGUGCCCACCACCACAUCAAGCUAUAUUUUUAGUAAAGAAGGGGUUUCACCAUGUUGGCUAGACUGGUCUCAAACUCCUGACCUCAUCAUCUGCCCACCUCAGCCUCCCAAAGUUCUUGAAUUAGAGGCAUGAGUGACUGCGCCUGGCUUCCAGUACAGCUUCUUUAGAUCUAGAAAUCUGUGAACAAAAAGAUAAGUUAUCUGCCUCGGUCUCCCAUCCCCUAGUCAACAUACAGUGGUGAGAUAGGGGCAAGAAAACUAUAGUAGACACUCCCAUUUAAAAAGAAGAAGAAUUAGAAGCACUGUUCCAUAGCAAUUUUGAAGUUCAUCUGGGCAUAUGUUACUCGUCUCUUACCACAUGUGUCAAAAAUAUACCUUAAAUAGUGCCCAGUUCUGCUCCUUGAGAGUUGUUCCCUAGUACAUGGUUUUGCAAGAUUGUUAGUUCUACCCUUUGGGUUGGCUUUCUCCUCCUCUUUUAUUUUUCAUAAGAAAUAGGACCUAUUUGUAGCUGAGUAGCUUUCCAACCUGCUUCUUACCUGUGCCAAGUUGGGAACCCACAGAUAUUUUAUUUCUCCCAUUUUGAACUGUUGGUCUUUCUCUUUUAGUCCAAACUGAUGGUACUUUUAGUACUCUAGUUUUCUUUAAAACUUUGAGAGUUUUCUAUGAAUGUUAUUAGGGAUGGAUUCUAUGACCCAAAAGCCACAUUCAUUAUUCUUAUCCAGGACAGAACUGUCUUUACUUUGGCUCUGUCUAUAGAAGGAAAAGGUCAAUAAGAUUCUUAGAAGUCCCUUUGUAUAGAUGAGAAGAGUCUAUAUUUUCAAGGUCUCAACAAAAGAUCUUAUGGACAAACCUCUCAUUUCAUAUCUACCCAGAGACCAUUUUUAAAUUUCAGAUCUUUUGCCACUUGCAGAGACUGUCUUGGGCCCUCUCUACUUCCACUAAAUUCUGCUUAAAAAUUAAACAGAUCCUUCUUUAGUUUAUUUCUCUCUUCCCUUACUUUAUCAUAUGCAGCUAAAAGAAGCCAAUUGGCAGUUAACUUUCAAUGUUCUACCUGGAAAUAUCUUUAUCCAGUUGGUAAGUUAAUUAAGUAAAUAUUCUAUCUUACAUAAUUAUUAAAUUAGGUAAAUAUUAUUGCAGGCAACAGUCUUGCCAAACAUUACACCACUAUGUAACAUGAGUCCCUCUCUUUCCUGCAUCUAAUAGCAAUUUUCUCAUGGCUCUUCUGGCCUUUGCUAACAACCGACUUUCCACUUUUUCAGCCUCUGCCUGCCAUCAGGUCCGAAAACCAAUGACUUGCUUAUGGCACUUUCCAUAAGCAAGUCAUACAAAUCAAGUCACGUAUAUAAGAAAGAGAAAAUAGAUUCCAUUUCUUGAAGGGAGGAAUGGCAAAUUACCAUUGCAAAAGAGUGUGUGGAAUGGGAUGACUUAUAGUCAUCUUUAGAAUCAUCUAUAGCACCUAGUAAGUUUAAACUUGGAAGAUUUACUAUAGGUGAGAAGUUAACAAGUGGUACCCUGUGUAUGUUUCUGGCUCACAGAUAUGGUAUCUUUGGCUUGCGUAGAGUUUAAAUUAAAAAAAAACAAAAACCAACAUAAUUUACCAUCAUUAAACAAUUGGAAGAUUUUAUUUAGAAGGUUGUAUCUCAGGUCUCUCUUGAAAAACAGUAAGAUGUUGUUGUAUUGGGCCUUCAUUUCCAUAUUAGCUAGAAAUUGCCUGAUUUACUCACUUUCAUGACCUUCUUGGUUCCUAUAGGUAUUUGAGUUUGCAGUUUUUGCUACUGUAGAUUAUGAAUUUAUACAUUAGUUUUUUUAAGGGAAUGCAGUGAUGAGCAAGACAGGCAUAGAGCUUACAUUCAAGUAGGUGAAGAUGGGCAGUAAUAAUAGAUAAGUAAUUUAUUUAAUAAAAUAUUAGAUAAAUAUUCCACAUGGAAGUGGAAUUAAGCAAGAAUCUGGGAUAGAAAGUGACUAGUUGGGGUGGGUAUGCUUUAGAUGGGGUGGUCAGGAAGGCCUCUCUGGAGACAUGACGUUGAGUGGCCUUAGUGAUGAGAAGGAGCCAAACAUGGGGUCACAGUGUUCUAGGCAGAGGAAAAAGCAAGUGAAAUGACCCAUGGAUAGGGCUGGGCUAAAUGUAAGAGGAGAAAACGGUAGUAGAAGAGGGGCAUGAAUGAGGUCAUGAAAGAUCCUGUAGGACAGAAAAAGAAUUUGAGAUCUUCUUCUGAGUAAUGGGAAGUCACUGAAGGAAUUGAACAGGACUAGGGAUGUGAUGUCAUUUACUUUUUGCAAAGAUAUCUGUGGCUGCUGUGCAGUAAAUAGACUAGUGGUGAAGGGUGGAAAUAGGAUGGUUGGUAAGGAGGCUUGCAGUCAUCUAGAAGGGGUAUAAAUGAUGGGGCCUUGAAGCAGGGUGUGGUACUUUUAAAGAAGUGGUCAGGGGUGGUAUGUCUUAAGUGUAGACAGGUCUUAUGGAGGAUUGAAUAUGGGAAUGGGGGGAAUGAAAGCCAACUUUGAGGCUCUUGGCUUGAGCAACUGAAUUAAUGUGUGGUCCCAUGGGGAGUUCUGACAGAGGAGCAAGCUUGAAGUGGGGAUUGAGAGUUUUCUCUUGACUAUUAAUAACUUUGUGAUCCUACUACAAAAAUAAGGUUGAAAAUGAAAACUCCUAAAAUGAAAUUAUUUUCAUCUUACAGCUCUUUAUAUGUUGUUUUUCUUCUCUCCAAUGGAAGACUUUGCCAUUACUUGGAUGGCAUAGAAGCUGCAAUGGAGGAAGUAUACAGAUGUCUAUUGGAGGAUGUAUUUACAUUUUAAUGUGUAGCUAUCUGCUGUCAAGAAUUAGGCAGUGAGACUGGGCACUGUGGCUCACACCUGUAAUCCCAGCACGUCGGAAGGCUGAAGUGGAAGUAUUGCUGUAGGCCAGGUGUUUAAGAGCAGCUUGACCAACAUAGUAAGCUCUUGUCUCUACAAAAGAUUUAAGAAUUUACAGGUGUGGUGGCUCACACCUAUAAUCCCAGCACUUGGGGAGACCAAGGCAGGUGGGUCACUUGAGGCCAGGAGUUUAAGACCAGCCUGGCCAACAUGGUGAAACCCUGUCUGUACUAAAAAUACAAGAAAAAUUAGCUGGGCAUGGUGGCGGGCACCUGUAAUCCCAGGUAUUUGGGAGGCUGAGGCCUGAGAAUCAUUUGAACCCAGGAGGUGGAGGUUGUAGUGACCUGAGACUGUGCCAUUGCAUUCCAGCCUGGGCAACAAGAAUGAAACAGUCUCAAAAAAAAAAAAAAAAUUAAGAAUUAGCCAACCAUGGUGUUGUGUUAUUUUGAGUAAUGGGAAGUCAUUGAAGGAAUUGAAUGGGAUAGUGGUGUAAUGUCAUUUACUUUUUACAAAGAUGCCCCUGGCUGCUGUGCUGUGAAUAGACUAGUGGCCAAGGGUGGAAGCAAAAUGUCCAUUUUUAAUUUUCUAUUUAUUCCAAUUCAGUGUGGUCAUAAGGGAUCAAGUGUAAUUUAUUACUCACAUUUAAUUGUUAGGGAGAAGUAAUUCAUUUUUACUACUUAAAAAGGUGGCAUGAUAGUAAUCAGAAUGUUCUAGGAGAGCCUUCCAGAGGUUUGUAAUGCUUAGAAUUGAAGUCACUAUUUAGCUAAGACCAGAAUCAUAACUACCUGAGGCAAGAUUGAGUAAGGUGAAUGGAUUUGAUGAAUUAAAGUGCUACUUGUAAAGGACAGUAAAUUUACUUUUAUAUUUGAGGUAGUAGCUUUUAUUGUAAAUUCGGAUGCAAAAUGAAAUAAUAGAGUUUUCACCCCUUUCAAGAGCCAUUUGGCGAUAGCGUUUUGACUAGAUCUGCCAUUCAAGUCAACUUAGAAAUAAUUCAUAAUUUUAUUUUUAAAUUUCUAUUUUAGUAUAUUUUCAUAUUAUCAUGAGAUAGUGAUAACACCACUCUAUUUUAUUAUAAUUGGUUGGGAGGAAAUAGCCUUUUAUAAAAGGUUAGUUAGUGGCUUAUUGCCAUUAUCAUUUAUUUUACCUUUUUUAGAAAAUGAAAUCAUUACAUUUAAAUUCAGUGUAUACUAUGUAGAGAACAUAACUGAUUUAAAACCAUGUAAAAUAGCUUGUCUUACUAACAAAACAUUCGAUUUUUCCUUCUUUGUGAAACCUUGAGUCAAAGUGUACUAGUGAGGAUGUUUAUAUUCCAGUGGUGUAGCUGAACCAGACAGGUCUGCAGCGCAGUGGUUUAUUUUUAGACCUGCGUUGCCAUUUUUAUCCUGCAAAAAUAUUCAUCAGUGUCUUGCUGACAGGCCAUCAGUUUUAUAAAUGUGCCACAUAGACCAGAUUUUGUUCUUUGUCUCAUUUUCCCUCCAACUCUUUUUUUUCUUUUGAUUUGUUCAUACAACUGUUUGGAGAAGGAGAAUUUUUUUUUUUUUUCAAUUCAUGUAGUAGAUGCUUCAAUUCACAGAUUUUCAGCAUCACCCAGUUCAUUCAUCUAUCUGCAGCUGCUUACACAUCUCUACUUAUUGUCUGAUAUGGGAAGCUGUUAUAGAUCACUAAGCUGAAGGCAAGGAAAAGAGAAAUGCAUGCACUGGGGACUUUCUUCAUGGGCCAGUCACUUUUGGGCUGCUUUCUCCGUGUGUGUGUGUGUGUGUGUGUGUGUGUGUGUGUGUGUGUAUUUACUUGUCUUACCCAACAAGGGACUGGCACAAAAUACUUUUCAUAAAAAAAUAGCGGCCUAAGGGCCUAGGGGUUACCAUAUGUGGCAGAAAGCCAUGUAUUGAAAAUAAAUCCAUCAUUAUCUUUAAAUACAUGGAACGCCAGUUAUUUAAUUUGUUAGGAGCCUGUUUUAGCCUGUUUGGGCUGCUAAAACAAAGUAACACAAACCAGGUAUCUCAUAAACAACAGAAAUUUAUUUCUCACAGAUCUGAAGACUGAAGUCCAAGAUCAAGGUCUCGGAAAAUUGGUUAUCUGGUGAGGGACUGUUUCCUGGGUCACAAAUGAUACUUUCUCACUGGGUCCUCUCAUGGCAGAAGGGGCAAAUGAACUCUCUCAGACCUCGAAGAGGACUGAUUCCAUUCAUGAGGACUCUGUCCUCAUGACCCAAUCAUCCACAAAUGCCCCCUCCUAGUACUAUCACCUUGGGGGUUAGGUUUCAACUAUGAAUUUGGGGGGAAUACAUUCAGACCAUAGCAGAGAUGAUGUUUUGAUUCCAGAUGCUUGAGUGACAGAUAUAACCAAAACAAAGAAAAAGUGCUGUGAUCAAGAGAAAGUAGAGGCACAUACUUGUGAAUAUAGCAAGUUAAUUUUUUAACAAUGUAUAUUCGUGUCUUUUUUAUAAAAGCUCAGAUUCCCAAAGCAGGAUUGGUAUUCACUUGUCUGUCUCUGUAACAAAUAUUUACUGAGUAGCUACUUGAGGGCCUAAUAUAGUAAUUGCUUUGGGAGAUACCAUGGGUUGGAGAACAGGAUUCCUGAUUUGUAGAGCUUAUAGUUAUUUUAAGAGGAAAAUGUAUAUUUCACAGACAUGGCAGUAUAGCCAUGUAAGAGUAUAGGCACUGGAGGCAGAAAUUUACAUUCGUAGUUUGUGUCAGUCAUUUCCUAUGUGUGUUACCUUGAGCAAACUGUUAAACUUUCCUGAGCCUCAGUUUCUUCGUCUAUAAAAUUGGUAUGUACCUCAGAAAUUACUAUAAAGGUUAAAUAAGAUGAUGCUUAUUUAGCAGUGUGCUAAAAAUACUGAACGUCAUGCCUAGCACAUAGUAAGCAUAUAAUAAAUGCUAGUGAAUUCAUAACAGUAAUAACAAUGAUGAGGAUAAUAAAUAUUCUAUGCAUGUUCUAUAAUGCUUUAAUAUCAGAAAUGUCUUCAGUUGUAAGUAACAGAAUACACAACUAUGGUGGCUUAAACAGAUAAAGAUUUAUUAAUCGAAUAAGUCUGACAUAGGCCACAUUGAAAAUUUAUUAUCAACAAUUUUUAUUGAUAAUCUGUAUGCCAGCUACUAUUCUAGGCACAAGGAUUCAUCCACUAACAAAAUGCAGUUAUUCCUGUCCUCAUGAAGCUUACAUUCUAAUUGAGGAGAGAGAUAAAAACAAACAAAUAAAAAAUGUAAUAUAAAAAUGUAAGUUAUUACCAUGUUAGAAGGUGGGCUUCAUAGAAAGCUUUGUGAAGGAGGGCCCAUUUAAGUUAGGCCGUAAGGGAACAAUCGAGUUUGAAUAAAUAAGGCUAGGUGAGAGAAAGACAACAGAGGAACAGAUAUGAGAAAAAUGGAGGAGCCAUUUUGAUGACAGUACUGUGUUGGUCAUCAGGUAGUCGUCAGGGGCCAUGAACACAAGAUUUCUGUAAGAUUUCUAAAAUAAAAAUUACAUGUUUCUACAAUUUUUGAUAGCUGUAUUGUGUUUUAUUGUAUUGAUAUGCUAUAAUAUAGAUUGCUAUAUAUAACACACAGAUAUGGAUAUAAUAGAUUAGUAUGCACCAUUAUAUACUGUAUCUGUAUGUUAUUAUGUGCUAUAUAUGAUUUAUAAUUACAUAUUAUAAUGUAUUCAAUGUUGGUAUUGUAAACAGUGCUGCCACAUAUGGCAGUAGAGUAGUAAGUUAGUAAGGGCCAGCACAUGGCAGAGAAAGACAUGACAUUUAAAGACUUGUUUCAGAUAUCCUUGCAUCUUAAGGAUCAAUGACAAUUUAAGAAAAACGAGGACUAUUAUACAUCUAAUAGAGUUUAAUAAAAUACCAAGUUGAUAUGUUUAGUAGUAUCCUAAUCUUGUGAGGGAUUGAAGGUGUUUUCAAAAUGUUAAAUAGCAGUUAGUAUUAAUUUUUUAAUUAAUUAAUUUGCAAAGUAGGUGAGUAGGUUAGUAACAGCACAACUAUAACUUCAGGCAUCAGAGAAGUUGCUUUUUCUCUCUUUGAGCUCUAGUCCAGAGAGUGAAACUUUGUUAAAUAAUUUACAUUCAAAACUUGUGCUGGAGACCAGGAAAUUUCCAAGAUGUGUUUGUAGACUAAAAAGCCAUGUGAGUAAAGAAAUGAAAUCACUAAAAAGUACAUAAGAGGACAUUUAAAUCAGACUUAUAAGUUCUGCUUGUGAGAGAUAGCUUCUUGAAGGGAGGAAAGUAUGCUUUCUUUGAUUCCAUGAAGCUCACUCUCAGCUAUACCUGCUGCCUAUCCACUGCAUCUGAAAGUGUAAUUUAUCUAAGAAGUUGAAUAAAACAAAUUUCAAAUGAUAAAAAAUUAUUUCACCAGUCUUUAGGACUUCUACUUAAGGGUUCACAGAAGAAAUAAAUGUCAUAGAAACUAGCAUCAAGUUUUCUUCUUUUCUUGUUAAAGGUCUGUGGGAGAGAAGGUAAAAAUAAUCAAAAUGUUUUUCUUUUAUUUUAGUUAUUCAUGUUCUUUCUGUUUUAAGUUUUUGAAGAUGAGCUAGCUGUAGGUUUAUUGAAUCACAGCUCUGACUUGACUUAUACUGUUUCUAAGACUUGCGGAUGUGUUUUUUUAAAUGAGAUAAAAAGAUGAGAGAAGUAGUUACUGUAAUUUUGUAUUCUUCAUAGUCAUGGACUCACAGGGUCUUAGCUGUUCAUUUAGUUUGCGACUACAUUGUAAAGAUGUGAAACUAAGGCUCAGAAAUAUUAACCACUGGUCCAGGUGGAUUUAGCUAGCAGAACCAGGACCAGAAAAUAAGUUUUCUGACUAUUGGUCAAUCCACCACUAUUUUAUGUAGAGUAUAAUCUCUGUAACUGAAAAAAAAAUGUGUUGGAUUAUAUGAAGUCCCUUUAAAAAGGUUUAGUUGGAAGUGAAUCUCACUGAGUGUUCAUUUUGAAAAGUGUGUCAGUAGUUAAGUUGCUUGACAUAAUUUUGUUGGAAGUCUGGGAGUUUACCAAAAAGUAGAAAGAGGAUCCAGCCAGAUGUUGUAUAACAAGAAGGAAUUGUGUUGAGCUUCUGUGGUUUUGACUCCUCAAGGAUGAGAAAAAAAAAACUAGGUGAGAAUAGAUGAGCAUUCUUCCUUUCUUUCCUUACAUUUGUUGUUGAUACUACCAUUAGUUCUUUCCGUCUUCAAGAUGUAUAAAUUGUUUAUUAAACUAUCUUUUGGCAAGGCUGUUUUGAAGUUCUUGACCAGGCCUGAGUCAGGCAUGGCGAGUAGAUUGACUUGAUUUCUUCCAGGUGUAAAGUACCUAGGGGUAUGCUGGGCCUCAGCAUCAGUAUGUUUAAAUGCAUGCCUUUAAGAUAUAUUUAAUCCUUAAAGAAGAGGUAAUUACUGUCUAGGAGACUCUGGCCCAAAAAUAGGACUUUAUUUUGGUGUUACUGUGAUAAGCCUGGUGGCUUAAAAGGAGAAAGCUUUCUAAAUCUAAUUUCUAAAUCUCUUAGUGAGGUGAGACAGUGUGAAUAAAAUCUAGGGUCUCUGUUUUUGGAGAAUUUACUCACUUCUUAUAUGAAGAAUAUUAUUAAAUUCUUCUUCUUUUUUUUUGAGACAAAAUCUUGCUCUCUCACCUAGGCUGGAGUGCAGUGGUGCGAUCUUGGCUCACUGCAACAUCUGCCUCCCAGGUUGAAGUGAUUAUCUUGCCUCAGCCUCCCAAGUAGCUGGAAUUAUAGGUGCACGCCACCACACCCAGCUAAUUUUGUAUUUUUAGUAGAGAUGGGGGUUUCACAAUGUUGGCCAUGCUGAUCUUGAACUCCUGACCUCAGGUGAUCCACCUGCCUCAGCCUCCCACAGUGCUGGGAUUACAGGUGUGAGCCACUACACCCAGCCUAAAAUCUUAAACUGGAUGAAUUAGGUUGAAAUAAGUCCUUCCUUCCAUUAUGCUUAGAUCUUUCCUUAUGUUUAUCUACCUUGGUGAAUAUAAAUGUGGACUAUUGAAGAUAACUUAACUAGUGGAAUUACCAGGUAGGUCUUAUUACACCUCUUUCACUUUUAUUAUACCUGAGUUAUACAUAGUAUUUCAAGGGCACUUGUGUAGUAGACACUAUUGUCUUACUGGUGCUUUUGCAUACUGUUUAUAAACGAAGGAGAUGUUUAAUGUAACUAUGUUGACUGAAGAAUGAAGAGGGUCAUAAACUUGGAAAGGAGAGCUUUAUUUCUUAGAAAGGGUUGCAAGCUGCAGGGUGUUCAUUCUGACAGGCUGGGAAGCAAAAUGUCCCACCAGAAGUCGGAAAUAGACAAUUCCAGGGAGGGGCAAAGGGAAUAGGAAUUUAUGCUGAGCCGGGUGGCCAAGUAUAUAUGUUCAGUAAGCUCUAGGAGGCAUCAUGAAUAUUUAUGGAAGGAGAAAACGUGCACAUGUGCAAUUGAGCUUCAGACCUCUCCAUGGCAUGGAACCCAUGUCCAAAAAAUGGUGGCAUUAGCAUAAUCUCAGAGUGGAGUUUUUGGCCUUCUGACCAAAAGAUGAAGCAGAGCACACAAAAACCUUUACUGUGCUUCCUCUGUAAACUGGCCAGAACCACUCUAUAUGGUUUAGCUGUGUCCUCCCAACCUAAAUCUCAUCUUGAGUUGUAGAUCCCAUGAUCGCCUUAUGUGGUGGGAGAGAUCUGGUGGGAGGUAAUUGAAUCAUGGGGGCAGUUACCUCCAUGUUGUUCUCCUGAUAGUGAGUUCUCAUGAGAUCUGAUGGUUUUAUAAGGAGCUCUCCUCUGCUCUUGCUCUAUACUUCUCUUUGAUGCCACCAUGUGAAGGAAGGAUGUGUUUGCUUCCUCUUCUGCCAUGGUUGUAAGUUUCCUGAGGCCUUCCCAGCCAUGCUGAACUGUGAGUCAGUGAAAUCUCUUUCCUUUAUAAAUUACCCAGUCUUGGGUAUGUCUUUAUCAGCAGCGUGAGAACAGACUAAUACACACUCCAUGGUUGGUGGUCUCUUAUCAGGAAGAAAUGCUUCUGCUUAGUUGUUUCAUUGAAACUGCAAAAUGAAGGGGCAGCAGUCAGGCUAUUGGUUGGAAUCAGUGGUGGAUCUUUUUUUUUUCUUAGAGAUAGGGCCUCUGUCAUCCAGGAUUAAGCACUAUGACCCAGUUAUAACUCACUGUAUCCUCUUAACUCUUAGGCCCAGGAAAUCCUCCUUCCUUAGCCUCUUGAGGAGCUGGGACUACAGGCAUGUGCCAGCAUGCUUGACUAACCAUUUUUAUUUUUUGUAGAGACAGGGUCUUGCUGUUACCCAGACAGGUCUUGAACUCCUGGCCUCAAGUGAUCUUUUUGCCUUGGCCUCUCAAAGUGAUUGGGAUUACAGAUGUGAGCCACUGUGUGCAGCUAAAGUUCAGGUUAUUAAUUAACUAAUUAAUUAAUUUAACAGACUCCACUGCCCAGGCUGGAGUACAAUGACAUGAUCAUGGUUCACUGCAAUCUAAACCUCCUGGCUCAGGCAAUCAUCUUGCCUUGGCCUCCCAAAGUGCUGGGAUUACAGACAUGGGUCACAAUGCCUAGCCUCAGGUUAUUUAAAAAGUCGCUGAUGGGAAUGUGGAAUAAAGAAAAAUGUCAUUCUCAGUGGUGAAGAGUGACUUGGGCACAAUAUGGAACUGAUUCCCUGGCAUGUUUUAUUUGGGAAAUACCAGGCAGACUAUUUGGAGUUAAAACAUUGGUUAAAGAUAAUGAAAAAUAAAGUUGGGUUCAGUGUUAUCAGAUUAAUGAGGAAGGCACGUUUUGGAGUAUUUGUGUUUGCACAGUGCAUUAUUGUAAAAUACAUCUGUUAUAGAUAGUUCCUAGUUUGUAAAGCAAUAUUGUAUUGUAUAGUUGGGUUUAUGUUCUGGUGAUGACGUGAUGAGUGACCAGUCAUUUAACCUCUCUGAGAUUGUCACUUCAUCUGUUAAAUUAGAUGCUAUAAUCAGGCCUUAUUAUUUACCACCUUCUUCUGGUUUUUUCAGCAACUACUGAUUGUACCGCAUAGAAUUUUGCGGCAGUUAAAACAGAGAUUGUCUGUAAAGUAUCUGCUACUGUGUUUGGCACAUGUUAGGCACUUGCUACAUUUAGGUUUAAAUUUCAAAAGGGUGUUCUACCCAUAGGAGCAGUCUGAACUUAGGUUUCUCUGUAUUCUGUAGUGUAAAUUGAGUGACACAUUGAGUAGAAUUUUACUUCCCAAAUUCAAGGAACGAUACACCAAGAAAAAUGGCAAUUUCUGUUCCUUUCCUGAUCUAGCCCUUGAUAAAAAGCUCAUCUUUAGUAACUUUUAAAAAAAAGGGGUUUGGGGGGAAUUCAUGUGGAGGCCAGAGUGGAAGCAGGUGUGAGAGGGUCCAGCAGAAGAAAACAUGGCUGCCAAAGUGUUUGAAUCCAUCGGCAAGUUUGGCCUGGCCUUAGCUGUUGCAGGAGGCCUGGUGAACUCUGCCUUGUAUAUAAUGUGGAUGCUGGGCACAGAGCUGUCAUCUUUGACCGAUUCCGUGGAGUACAGGACAUUGUGGUACGGGAAGGAACUCACAAUCUCAUCCCGUGGGGACAGAAACCAAUUAUCUUUGACUGCCGUUCUCCACCACGUAUGUCCCAGUCAUCACUGGCAGCAAAAAUUCACAGAUUGUCAACAUCACCCUGCGCAUCCUCUUCCGGCCCGUCACUAGCCAGCUUUCUCGCAUCUUCACCAGCAUCAGAGGGAACCAUGAUGAGCAUGUGCUGCCGUCCAUCACUACCGAGAUCCUCAAGUCAGUGGUGGUUCCCUUUGAUGCUGGAGAACUAAUCACCUGGGGAGAGCUGGUCUCCAGGCGGGUGAACGGCGACCUUACGGAUCAAGCAGCCACCUUUGGGCUCAUCCUGGACGACGUGUCCUUGACACAUCUGACCUUUGGAAAGGAGUUCACAGAAGCGGUGGAAGCCAAGCAGGUGGCUCAGCAGGAAGCAGAGAAGGCCAGAUUUGUGGUCAAAAAGGCUAAGCAGCAGAAAAAGGCAGCCAUCAUCUCUGCUGAGGGCAAUUCCAAGGCAGCCAAGCUGAUCACCAAUGCCCUGGCCUCCGCAGGGGACGGCCUGAUCGAGCUGCACAAGCUGGAAGCUACGGAGGAUAUCGCGUACCAGCUCUCAGACUCUCGGAAUAGCACCUGCCUCGUGCUCUUCCAGCUGCCCCAGUGAGGGUCCACCCUGUCUGCACCUCCGCGGGCCAACUGUGCCACAGCCCCAGUGAUUCUUAACACAGCCUUCCUUCUGUCCCCACCCCAGAAAUCACUGAGCAAUUUCACGAUUGGCUUAUUAAGUGAAGGAAAUAAAGGUAAAACCCCUUCAGAUCACUAAAAAAGAAAACGUGGGAGGAUGGUUAAAAGAAAUUCAAGUAAAAUUCUGAUUACAUAAACAUAACCACAAUGUACAAUUCAGGGGGGCUUUAGUACAUUCACAGUGUUGUGCAGCUUUCAUCUCUAUCCAGUUUCAAGGCGUUUCCAUCAUUCCAAAAGGAAACCAUAUCCACUAAGCACUCUCUAUUCUUCCUUCCACAGCCACUGGCAAGCACUAAUCUGCUUGCUUUCUCUAUGGACUUACUUAUUUAUUCUGGAUGUUUUGUGUAAAUAGAAUACAGUGAUGACCUUUUGUGUCUGGCUUCUUUCAUUUAGAAUGAUGUUCAUAUAUAGGGUUCAUCCACACUGUAACAUGUAUCAGUAGUACUUCAUCCCUUUUUGUGGCUGAAUAAGACUCCAUUAUAUGGAUAUACUACACUUUGUUUAUCCAGCCAUCAUUUGUUGGACAUUUGAGUUGUUUCUACCUUUUGGCUAUUGGCAAUGGUGCUGCUAAGAACAUUCAUAUACAAGUUUCUCUUUGAUUAUUGGUCUUCAGUUUUGGGAGGUAUAUACCUAGGAGUGGAAUUGCCAGGUCAUAUGGUAAUUCUGUUGAUCUUCUUGAGGAAAUCCCAACCUGUUUCCCUUAGUGGCUGCCCCAUUUUACAUUUCUGGUGGCAGUUUACAAGGGCUUUAAUUUCCCCACCAACACUUAAUUUACAUUUUAACAGAUUACGGACAACCUUGUGGUUUUGAUUUGCAUUUCCCUAAUAAUGUUGAGCUUUUUUCAUAUACCUGUUGGCCAUUUGUAUAUCCUCUUUGGAUAAAUGUCUAUUCAAGUUCUUUGCCCAAUUUUAAAACUAGAUUGUCUUUUUGUUCUGAGUUGCACAAAUUAUUUAUAUAUUCUAGAUACUAAACCUUUAUUAAAUAAGUGAUUUGCAAAUGUUUUCUCUCAUUCUAUAUAUGGGUUGUUGUAUCAGUCUGUUUUCACACUGCUGUAAAGAACUACCUAUGACUGGGUCACUUAUUUAAAAAAAAAAGAGGUUUAAUUGACUCACAGUUCUGCAUGGCCAGGAAGUCCUCAGGAAACUUAAAAUCAUGGUGGAAGGCAAAGGGGAAGCAAGAUAUGCCUUAUAUGGUGGCAGAGUAAGAGAUCGAGGGGGGGGGGAACUGCCACACACUUGUAAACCAUCAGACUCCUGAGAACUCACUCACUAUCACAAGAACAGCAUGAGGGAACCACCCCCAUGAUCCAGUCACCUCCUACCAGGAUCUUCCCCUGACACAUGGGGAUUACAGUUGGAGAUGGGUUUGGGUGGGGACGCAGAGCCAAACCAUAUCAGUUAUCUUUUCCCUCUCUGGAUAAAAUCUUUUGAUGUACAAAAUAAUUUGAGUUUUGACGAAGUCCAUUUUACCUGCUUUUUCUUUUUUUUCUGUAGUUUUGAUGUCAUCACUAACCUUAGUGUUUUCUCUGUCUCUGUAUCCCUUCUACUUUCUAGCAUUCCUUGUCUAAUUGCUAACAUUUACUGAGGAUUUACUAUGUGCCAGGUCUCAUUCUAAAUACGUUACAUACAUUGUUCCAUUUAAUUUGCAAGGAGUCCAGUAUAGUGGGUGCUAUUAUUAACAUUUAAUUGAAUCUUGACUGACUCUGUGGGACAGAUAGUUUUGUAUUCACUUUACAAAUAAAGAAACCGAGACAAUAGAGGUUAACUAUUGCUAGAGAUUAACUCGCAAUAGAGGUUAAAUAGAGGUGGCCGAGUUGGGAUUUGAAUCUAGGCUUGAACCUUGCUGGUUUGAUUUUAGUGCCCAUGUUCUUAACACUCAUAUUGUAUUUUCACUAAAAUAGCAGAAGUCCUUCCAUUGUGGUGUCUUACCAGGUCCUGUGAUUCAAAAGUAGUAACUGCUUUGUUCCCAGUUAGAAUUCCUGUUCUCAUGAGGCCCCUUCCAUAUUACUCUUACAUUUUGGGUAUUCCCAGCAGAAGCCACAAGUAGUUCGAAUCAGUUAGAUCACACUGCAGCGUAAAGAUUGAUAGCCUUUUAAUUCUUAUACGUGGGUUUGCAUUUUUAAAGAGGGUGUGGCAUUAACCAAAAUGAAUCAUUAUUUGGAAGGGCUUUUAGUGAAAAAAUCAGGCAGAAGGCAUUUUUGGGUUAUGGUGCCACCAAAAGGAAUCACAGGGCCUUGCCUGGAAGUUGGCCUAGGGUAGUAACUGCCUUAAGCAAAUCGUACACAGUUUCCUUUUGUUUUUCUGUUCUGGACCUGUAGAUACUUGGAAGUGUUGUUGUUGUUGUUGUUUGGGUUUGCUAGGUUUUUAAGUGGCAAGUAGAACCGUCUCCAGUAUCUUGUUGGGUCAAAAGAAGGGGAGUAAAGGGUAGAAGAGAGGUCUGCUCAGUGGGGAACCUGAAAAGGCUGAGUGGGAACAAGGAGCCUCUGUACUGGGACAGGACAUUUGCAAACUGGGCAUUGUCUUUCAGUAGUAAUCUGUUCUUGAAGAAAGAUGUGUGCUUCCUCAUACCAUGGGGUUAUGGAAAAUGUCCCCAAUAUCCAGAUAUAUGCAUAAACUAAUAUUUUUCUGUAAAAUUAUUUUUAUAAUAUUAGGAGAACAAGUUAGAGUGGUCUUAUAUUGCAUCACUUUCACUGUUUGUCUUUAAUAAAAAUGGAGGAAGUUGCUGCUGUUUUAUUAACUUGCACCCUGCAUGCUUCUCUUCUUUGUUCUUUGUUAAAUAUGAGCUGGCGUGUGUUAAGACUACGUCUGCAUUUGCUCUCAGGGACUUCAGUGGUUUCUAAAUUCAGCACUGCUAAGCCCCUACACUGCUUGCUUGAAUCAAUUGAGACUGCUAUUUUUAGCAACAAAAGGGAAUUGAAAUAGCAAUUUUCUUUCCAUGUAAUAGAUUCCCAAGAGGAAUACUGAUGCAAGCUCUCUAUCAUUUUCUAUUCCUACCGCCCUCUUCCCAAAGCACUCAGAGGAAAGGCAGCUGUCAUGGUUUGCCGCAGUAUUAAUCUUUAAUCAAUUGAGUGUUUUCUGCAUUCAGGUGUUCGGCGGGGGUGGGGGAAAGGGUCAUAAGAAAGAACCUGCUUGGAAUAACGAAGCUCUUAGGCAUGGACUUUACAGUCAGAAUUUUGUGGGUAGUGGCAGGGAAUAGACAGAAGAGCUAAAAAUAGUGAGUUUGCUUUCAGUGUUCCUCUAGUCUAUUUUUGAUGUUUGAUUUUGAUAAGGUUGAUUGGGUUCUUACUAAAAAUAUCUGUUCCUAGCAAGUUGAGGACAAAAAGAGUAGAAUAUUUUUAACCUACACAGACUGAAGUAUUUUUGUUGACUGUAUAAAAUCUGGAAGUGGAGCCCUGGUCAGUUGCCAGUAUUUUAUAUAAUCUGUAGCAAGCUAGACACUUCUGAAUGCCAAGUUGGGCUAUUCUUUAUAGUUGUCGGUUUCCAUCUUCUCAACGGCUUGUAAAUUUGGGUGCUGGUGUUAUAUUUGUAUAUGAAGACAUAAGCCUUUAAAAAAAAAUCUUCCUCUUCCCCCUUCCCUUCUUUUCCUCCUCUACAUUAGUGCUAGCUGUGACCAUCAUAUGUACUGUCCGUAUAGCUUUUUUCUGUAUCUUGUUAAAAGUUACCUUAACUUAUCACUUAUUCCAUGGCAAACCAUGGCAAAAUGGAAUCUGAGGACAUCCAUGGUAAAUGAAGAAGCAAAACUUAGUGACAAGAAUAGUGAACUGUCACUACUUUGGUAAUUUAGCAUGUUUUACUAAACCAAAAGUGGUUAGUUUCCCGUUUGUCUAAUUCUGUUUUAGAUUAGUUCACUGGCACAUUAUGAGUGCAGUAGUUCUCCUUAGCACUGAAAACCAUCACUUCUCUCUCUCUUUUUUUUUCUUCAACUUUUUUUUUUUUUUGAGACGGAGUUUCGCUCUUGUUACCCAGGCUGGAGUGCAAUGGCGCAAUCUCGGCUCACCGCAACCUCCGCCUCCUGAGUUCAGGCCAUUCUCCUGCCUCAGCCUCCUGAGUAGCUGGGAUUACAGGCACGCGCCACCAUGCCCAGCUAAUUUUUUGUAUUUUUAGUAGAGACGGGGUUUCACCAUGUUGAUCAGGAUGGUCUCGAUCUGUUGACCUCGUGAUCCACCCACCUCGGCCUCCCAAAGUGCUGGGAUUACAGGCGUGAGCCACCGCGCCCGGCCUUUCUUCAACUUUUAAGUUCAGGAGUGCAUGUGCAGGAUGUGCAGGUUUGAUACACAGGUAAACGUGUGCCAUGGUGGUUUGCUGCAUAGAUCAUCCCAUCACCUAGGUAUUAAGCUCAGCGCCCAUUAGCUAUUCUUCCUGAUACUCUCCCUCCCCCAGCUCCUACCCUCUCCAACAGGCCCCAGUGUGUGUUGUUCUCUGAAAAUCAUCGCUUUUCAAGGACAGCCUCAGAAUCCUUUGAAAGUGCAAAUCUACAGGUUUAUUAUAAAGUUAAACUUAUCUCUGUUAAAUUUCUUGAAAAUUUCACUUUUAGAUCAUUGAUUCUUGAUGUUGAGGGGAGGCUGAAGAGUGUAUGGGGUUGUGAUAAGAUGUGGAAAAAGCAAUGGGUAGAAUCAUAAAAGGUUACUUUUCCUUCAUUAAUUUACUCAUCCAUUCAUACUGUAAAACCUCAUUAAUCACCUGCUUUUUGCCAGGUUCUGUUCUAGCAGACCGUGAUGACCCAGAUAGACCCUGCUCUUAUAGAAUCCUGCAUGAUGACUGUCUUUACGGUUGUCCAAAGGACCACCAGGAUGGCUAGAUAGUAGGAAAGAGAGUUUUAUUGGCAAUAUCAGUUUGCAAAACAGAGAGUCUCCAGCAUGAACCAAAAGCACUUUCUCCAAAGAACAAAGAAAACUAGAGGUUUUAUAAAAAGGAGAAAUGUUGACUUUCUGAUCCAAGAUGGCUGAUCGCUAACAGCUCAGGAUUGUAGCUCCCAGUGAAAGCACAGAGAACGAGAGGACGCCACACUUUCAGACGAAUUUUCAUUGCUCACGGACCAGAAGAUUCCCAGUGGAGGGGCCCCACGGGUCACCAGUGCGACUCUUGUGGCCGGUGCAGUGGUUUUGCCGGCACCUCAGCGCAGCAGCUCUUCGUGCAGAGUAAACGGGAGGAGAUUCCCGGGCAGAAGCUCACCAUCAGUCUUAACGCCACUGUUUUGUCCGGCACAGUGGGUUGCUCGGAUUCCAGUGCUGGGAAUCAAUAAACUGGGCGUCCACUCAGAAACCCAACUAGAAAGGCGGUAAUUGUAAAGACGACAGAUGGAUAAAUUUAUAACAAAGGGAAGAAACCAGCCUAAAAAGGCUGAGAAUACCCAAAAUCAGAACCCCCCUCCCUCUACAGGGGAUUACAGUUCCUCAUCAGCAACGGAACAAGCCCUGAUGGAAAAGGACUGUGUGCCAUUAACAGAAGUAGACUUCAGAAGGUGGAUGAUAAGAAACUUCUGGAAGUUAAAAGAACUUGUUCUAACCCAAUGUAAAGAAACUAAGAACUUUGAAAAAAGGUGUAACGAAAUGCUAACAAGAAUAGACAAUAUAGAGAGGAAUAUAAAUGAACUAACGCAGUUGAAAAACACAACACGUAAACUUAGUGAAACAUGCACAAGUUUGAAUAGCCGAAUUGAUCAAGCAGAAGAAAGGAUAUCAGAGGUCAAAGACCUACUUAAUGAAAUAAAACGAGAAGACAAGAAUAGAGAAAAAAGGAUAAAAAGGAAUGAGCAAAGUCUCCAAGAAAUAUGGGACUACGUGAAAAGACCUAAUUUAGGUUUGAUAGGUGUACCUGAAUACGACGAAGAGAAUGAAUCCAAGCUGGAAAAUACUCUUCAGGAUAUUAUUCAGGAAAACUUUCCCAAUCUAGCAAAGCAGGACAAUAUUCAACCCCAAGUAAUACAGAGAACACCACAAAGAUAUUCCUCAAGAAGAGCAACCCCAAGGCACAUAAUCGUUAGAUUCACCAGGGUUGAAACGAAGGAGAAAAUACUAAGGGCAGCCAGAGAGAAAGGUCAGGUUACCCAAAAAGGGAAGCCUAUUAUACUUACAGCAGAUCUCUCAGCAGAAACCCUACAAGCCAGAAGAGAGUGGGGGCCGAUAUUCAACAUCCUUAAAGAACAGAACUUUCAGCCCAGAAUUUCAUAUCCUGCCAAACUAAGCUUCACAAUUGAAGGAAAAAUAAAAUCUUUUAUGAACAAGCAAGUACUCAGAGAUUUUCUUACCACCAGGCCUGCUUUACAAGAGCUUCUGAAAGAAGCAUUAAACAUAGAAAGGAACAACCAGUAUUAGCCUUUCUAAAAAUAUACCAAAAAGUAAAGAGCAUCAACAUAAAGAAGAAUUUACAUCAACGAAUGGAUAAAACAGCCAGUUAACAUCAAAUGGCAGUAACCCUAAAUUGAAGUCGACUAAAUCCCCCAAUCAAAAGAUACAGCCAAAACCUAAUGGUAUGUUACAUCCAGACCCAUUUCACAUCCAAAGAUACCCAAAGACGCAAAACAAAGGGAUGGAGAAAGAUUUACCAACCAAAUGGAGAGCAAAAAUAAAUAAAUAAAUGAAAAGCAGGAGUUGCAAUUCUCGCAUCUGAUAAAAUAGAUUUCAAAGCAACAAAGAUAUAGUGGUAAAAGGAUCAAUGCAACAAUAAGAGCUAACGAUCCUAACACCCAGAUACAUAAGACCUAUAAAGAGAUUUAGACUCAACAAGACAGAAAAUUAAUAAGGAUAUCCAGGACUUGAACUCAGAUUCGGAACAAGUAACUCAAUAAAUAUUUAUAGAGCUCUCCAUUUUAAAUACACAAAAUAUACAUUCUGCACUUUAAAUAUACAAAAUAUUGAUCGGCCAUUAUUAAUACCCAUUUUUAGAAUAAAGCAAUAUUCCCAGUCUCUCUCCCUCUUUUUCUUCCUCUUUCUUCCUCUUCCUCACUCCUUUAAAAAAAAAAAAAAGAGGAGAAAUGUUACCUGUUGCUCUUUGAGAAAGUUCACUGGCUUUGGAUAAGGGUUUGGGGAGCUGGCAAGUCCUGAUUGGUGAGCAACUGCUCAGGACAAAAUUAAUUCUAGAGUUGCAGCAAACAUAGAUAAAACUGGUGUCAGGUUACAACAAGCAGGUUCAGCUUGCCGAGAAUUGCAUUUCUGGAGCAAUGUUUUGUACCCCAAGGGCUCCCCCUUCCCCCGCCCCCGGUUCUUCUCUCUGUUUCAGUUGGGUAUGACAAGCAUGACCCAACUCGUAUGAUCAACUUUCACAAAGGAUGAGUACAGAGUACUCUGGAACAGGGAUUCUGUAUGACGUCCUAAGUUAGUCUAGAGGUCAAGGAAGGCUCAAGGGGAGAAGAGAUGGUUUGAGUGAAAAAACCUCAAGAAUGGGAGGGCAACACAGCUAGAAGUGUGUCUUAGUUCAUUUGUGCUGCUAUAAUAAAAUACCUAAAGAGCAGAACUGUAUUUUUUCACAGUUUUGCAUGCCAGGAAGUCCAUCAGUGUGCCCACAGGUUCAGUUGUCUGGAGAGGGAUACUGUGUGCUUCCAGGAUGGCACCUUGUCUCUGCCUCCUUGGAAUGCUGUGUCCUCAUAGGGCAGAAGGCAGAAAAGCAAGUUGGCUGAAGGAACACUUCAUUAAGAUUCACUUAUAAGGGCCUUAAUUCUACUCACGAGGGAGGAGCCCUCAUGGCUUAAUCACCUCUGAAUAUCUCCACAUCUUACUACUGUCACAUGGGCCGGUUAAGUUUCAACACCUGACUUUUGGAAGGAACACAUUCAAACCAUAGCUGAGUGUAUGCUGGAGGUGUAGGGAACAUUUGUGAAGAGAAAACAUGUUACCUUCUAGGAACUGGAAAAAUUUCAGCACAACUGGGGCAGGCUUGAGUGGAAGGAGAAAAGUGGUAGGAAUAGCUCGUAGAAGACCUUGUAAAGAAUGAGGGGAGUGGGAAGCCAGUAACAGGUUUUAGGCAGGAAAGUGAAGUUCACAUUUACAUUUCGAGUGGUUGUUUUGGCUAUGACAUAGAGAAUGAAUUGGGGAGGAGUAAGAAUGGGACCAGGUGAAUGCCUUAGAAAGCUAUUAUAGUAGCUCUUGUGGGAGAUGAAUGAUGGUAGCUCUAGGAGGUAGCAAUGGGAAGAAGUGAAUGAAUUUGUUUCAGGCUUUAUAUAGUUGGCAAAAGGGAAUUGUAACUUCUUGGCAGAGAAAAAAUAGUGUUUGAGAAAUAAUUUUUAACUGGGUAUAGCAUGGAUUGAGCGAGGAGGGAUGAAAGAUUCCUCACACAGGUUCUUGUGUUUGGGAUGAUAGCGUAGAUUGGGGUAAUAGUUGUCAGAAAUAACUGGAUGGUAUCAGUGACAUACCUUGAGCAAAUAUUUUUAUGAUGAUGUGAAUAAUAUUUUGUUUUCAUAAUUUAUUUUGUUGACAGUUUUAUGCUUGCUUUUCUGGGCCUAUCAUAGUUACUUUAAUAAGACAGAAGUUUAUUUUUCACCCACUUUAAAGACUAGAACUUUUGUGUAUGUUAGAUUCUUUUUUUUUUGAGAUGGAGUUUCGCUCUUGUUACUCAGGCUGGAGUGCAAUGGCGCGAUCUCGGCUCAACGCAACCUCCGCCUCCUGGGUUCAGGCAAUUCUCCUGCCUCAGCCUCCUGAGUAGCUGGGAUUACAGGCAUGCGCCACCAUGCCCAGCUAAUUUUUUGUAUUUUUAGCAGAGAUGGGGUUUCACCAUGUUGACCAGGAUGGUCACGAUCUCUUGACCUCGUGAUCCACCCGUCUCGGCCUGUAUGUUAGAUUCUUUAUGACAAGCAGUAAAAGAAGAAAUAAUUGGGAUUUUAAAGUGGCGUGAUAUAAUUCUGUGGUAUCAGGGACCUUGAUUCCUAUGAUACUGUUCCAUUAUCUUAGCCCAUGGCUUCAACCCUUAAGAUUAUUUCAUGGUUUUAAGAGACUGCUCCAGCUCCAGCUAUCAUUUUAGAAUUGACUCGAUGAAGGGCAAAAGAGACCUCUCUCUGCCAAGUCAGCUUCAGUUAAGCAGACUAUCUGAAAGUCCUUCACAACCCUGCUUCAUCUUGUUCCCUAAAAUUAAUCACAUGGCCACUCCUAGCCGAUAUAUAAGUCUUUAUUCCAGGCCGCAAUAUGCUGGGUUUAAAGUCAGUGUUCUCUUGCAAAGGAAGAAGGGAAGAAUGGAUAUUAAGGAAGGCAACCAGCAGGCUCUGGCCCACUUGUGCAUUUAACACAUGAAGGAUGGCGUCCCCAGAGAAGAUUUUGCACAUUGGAUGUUAUCAUUUCAGUGUUUCUGUGAAUGCUUAGUUUUUUCAUUUUGAGAAACUACAAAAGGCCAGUCAUGUGCUUUUAAUCCCAGCUUGUAAUCCCAGCACUUUGGGAGGCUGAGGCUGAUGGAUCACGUAAGGUCAGGAGUUCAAGACCAGCCUGACCAACACAGUGAAACCCUGUUUCUAUUAAAAAUACAAAAAUUAGCCGGGUGUGGUGGCACAUGCCUGUGGUCCCCAGCUACUCGGGAGGCUGAGGCAGGAGAAUUGCUUGAACCUAGGAGGUGGAGGUUGCGGUAAGCCGAGAUCAUGCUACCACUGCAUUCCAGCCUGAGCAACAGAGUGAGACUCUGUCUCAACAACAACAAAAAAAAACACAGAAAACAAAACACACACACACACAAACACACACAAAAACAAGCAGUAUUUCCGAUUUGGAUGACUUGGAAGCUGGUUUUUGUUUUAUUUGGUUUUCAUGAUAUUAUAUGGGUCUGAGUGUUUAGAUCAGUGUUUCCCAAAGAUGAACCAAGAGAUGAUCUUAGGUACUACAUAGAUUAAUAUUUUAAAAUUUUGACAUUUAUAUGUUUUUUACACUAAUAGUCUAUGUUAAUUGAAACUGAUGGUCCUUUAUAAGAAGUAUAUUAAAUUUUCUAUUAAAUUUUUCAGUUUUAAGAAAACUUAAGUGACCUUGAGAAACACUAAUUUUUUUUUCUUUUUUUGUUGGGGGGACAGAGUUUUGCUCUUGUUACCUCAGCUUGGGUGCAAUGGGCACAAUCUUGACUCACUGCAACCUCUGCCUCUGAGUUCAAGUGAUUCUCCUGCCUCAUCCUCCUGAGUAGUGGCAGGCAUGCGCCACCACGCCCGACUAACUUUUUGUAUUUUUAGUAGAGACAGGUUUUCUCCAUAUUGGUCAGGCUGGUCUCGAACUCCUGACCUCAAGUGAUUUGUCUGCCUCGGCUUCCCAAGUGAACCACUGUGCCAGGCCAAGAAAUACUGAUUUAAGCAAUACCAGCCUGAUUUUGGGAAAUUGAAGUAGAUGAGUCUGCUGGCUCAGUUACACCAUUUUUCUAUUCAUAGUAGGAAAGGCUUUUUUUUUUUUUUUUUUUUGCAGUGGCGCAGUCUCAGCUCACUGCAACCUUGGCCUCUCGGGUUCAAGCAAUGCUCCUGCCUCAGCCUCCCAAGUAGCUGGGAUUCCAGGUGCCUGCCACCAUGCUCGGCUAAUUUUUUUUAUUUUAGUAGAGAUAGGGUUUCACUGUGUUGCCCAGGCUGGUCUCCAAUUCCUGACCUCGUGAUCCACCCAGCUCUGCUCCCCGUUCUGGGAUUACAGGCAUGAGCCACUGCGCCUGGCCACAAAGGACUUAAAAAAAAAUGCAGUACAUGCACAUAGUUAAAAAAUGCAAAGAGUAAAAAUAACUAUAAAAAUUAAUCUCUUUCCCAUCUUUCCCUAAUUCCCCAGAAGCAACUACCAACAGACGUUUGAUUUGAGAUGGUACGCUUUGGUUUACCUUUCCGAAAUUUAUGAUGAAGAAUUGACUCCCAGACAAUACAGUUUCACUUUAAUAGUGAAAAGUCACACUAUUAUUUUAUAAAAAUAAGAAAUUAUUGAACUUGAUUGAGGAAUUUUCUAUUCAACUACAGGUGCUAUCUUUACUACUACUGUUGGGAAGAUACAUAGCUUUAAAGUAAAGGAAAUGUCUUUUUUUCUUUUUUAAUUGAGACAGGAUCUCACUGUCACUGAGGUUGGAGUACAGUGGUGUAAUCAUAACUGACUUCAUCCUCAACUUCCUGGGCUAAGAGGAUCUUCCUGCCUCAGUUUCCUGAGUAGCUGGGACUAUAGGCGUGUGCCACCACACUGGGUGAUUUUCUUGAGUUUUUUUGUUUUUUAGAUAGAAAUGGGUUUCACUAUGUUGCCCAGGCUGGUCUUGAAUUCCUGGGGUCAAGCAGUCCUCCUACCUUAGCCUCCCAAAGUGUUAGGAUGAGCCAGUGCACCCCAUGGAAAUACCUUUAAAACCAAAAGCAGGACAAUUCUUGUUCCCACUCUCUUAAAUAAACGCAUCUGAAUCUUUUUCAUGUUUGUUGAGUAAGACUUUUUCUUUCAUAACUGACUGAAAUUUGGUUAUGUUUGUACAUUAUUGCAAAUAUAAUACAUUAACCAUCAUGUAACUUGCAGAUGUAAAGGCUUUGUCAUUUCCUUUGCUGGGGAAAUGAUACUUGGUCUCCCACUGCCUGACCACUGUAUAUAAUACUAAUUAUUGUAGAAAUACAGUGGUGCUAUAGAGAUGGCUAAGAGAGGCUCUUGAUUUCAGUUUUUUUUUUAAUGCCCUUAAAUAAUUUUUUGCACUUCUCUGUUUUCUCAGAAAAAAUAUUUACUUGUGAGGUAAUGUUACACGUAACUGGGCAGUGUUGGAGUUGGUUUUGAGAAGUAUGAGAAAAUGGAAAAGUGAUAUUUUUAUCUAUCUAAAAUAUCAGAGGUUACAUUUUUAAUAUUUGUACAACGUAAAGUCAUAUUGUUUCUGCUUACAUUUAAAGUCCUAGCCAUGAAAUGGGUAAUUUAUGGAAUAUCUAAUAUUGAGUGUGGCCCAUAUACAUCAUUGUAUUCUCGAUAGUCAUACACAUAAUAGUUUCUGAAGACUUAGUUUCAUUUGAAUUUGAUAGUUGCUAGCAGGAGAUAGGAAAAAGUGUUCUUGCUGGGCAUAAAUCUUUCUAAGUGUGUUUAUUAUCAUUUCUCAACUAAAGUUAGUCUACUUUGGUAUGAUAUGCUUAAGAGGAAACUUGAGUGCUUCUAGUUUUAAAAUGAUGAGGCAGCAAUACUUUUGGCCUUUCAUCUCUUGGAAAUGUUCUCUAAAAGUUAGAAGGAUAAGAAAUGGAAAGCUUCAUUUUGAUGCAGCUAGGGAACUUCUGUCAUCCCUCAUCCCCAGUCACAGCUAUUGAAGGCGGUGGAGUGGUAACUGACUUCCAGAGCAGACACUGAGUCCUCAUAGUGGGGCCACCAUUGGGAAACAAGCAAGUUUGUCCCUUGGAUCCCAGAACAACACAGAAAUUGGAUAUAUCAGGUACCUCAAAAGACAGGGGUGGAGCAGAUGUCCUUGAGGCUCAGGAAAAUUAAGCAGCAGAGGCCCCAAGGUGAGACACUUGAGUGAGAACAAAGGAUGACAUCUGCAAACUAAUAAUUGCCCACAGCCAGUAGACUGGAAAUUAGGGAAUGCUUUUUAAGAGACACUGAAGGACCCCAGAGAAGAGAUAGAUACUGACAAUAUUGGUUCAUGUGUAUGUGAGGUAUAUUCAGGAGUAUUCUCAGGAAUAACACCUGUGAGGACUUUUGUGGAUUCCCCAGUGAAAAAGCUGACUUGCCCACCGGUUGGGUGGUAGUGAGGGCUACGGUGUAAUCACCCCACCUAUACACUCUAAUCGACAUUUUAAUGCAGCCAAGAUGAGAGUGACAGUGACCAAAACAAUCAAGAAAGAACUUAGAGGAACAAAAUAUAAACAGUAGAAGAAAUUGGGAGGGUGAGGUGGGCGGAUCACGAGGUCAAGACAUCAAGACCAUCCUGGCCAACAUGGUGAAACCUCGUCUCUACUAAAAAUUCAAAAAAAUUAGCCAGGCGUGGUGGCACGCGCCUGUGGUCCAAACUACUCGGGAGGCUGAGGCCGAAGAAUCGCUUGAACCUAGAAGGCAGAGGUUGCAGUGAGCCGAGACUGCGCCACUGUACUCCAGCCUGGUGACAGAGCAAGACUCCGUCUCAAAAAAAAGAGUCGAAGAAAAUGUAAAUAUGUAAGCAAACUAUAAUUAAUGUCCUCAGAGAUUAGAAAAUGGAUCUAUAGUAAUAACAAGAUACUGUUAAAAACGAGAAAGAGCGAGAAUGUGCAGAAGAGCAGUAGGAAUAUGGAAGAUUCUUCAAAUUAGAAAAAUUGACAGCCUACAUUUAAAAAGUACAUAGAUGGUUUGGAGGAUAAAGUUGAAGAAAUUUACAGGAAAAUAGAGCAAAAAGAAAAGUAAGAUUAAUAGAGAAACUAUUAAGUCCAAAUUCUGAUUUAUAGAAAUUCUAGGAAGAGAAAAAUGUGAGGCAGAUGUUAUCUAACAGUUAACAUGAGAAACUCUUCAAAUAACUGAAGAUCAUGAAUUUUAAGGCCUACCAAUGCCUAGCACCAGUAAAUGGAAAAACACCCACUCAUUUGGGUAUAUUUUCAUGAUGGAGUCCUACAGACUAAGUAAUGAUUCUAAAAGCCCCAGUGACAAAAAAAGCAGAUUACAUACAAAUAGUGGGAAAUAAGAAUGGUGAAACAUUUAAAAGUGAUACUUGUGUUAGAAGACAGUGGAGAGUUGUCUAAAAUUUUUUUGUUAAAAAUGAUUUCCUGCUUAUAAUUAUAUACCCAGCUAAGCUAUUAUAUGUGUGGUUAGAAAAUAGACUUUUUACAAAAAGAUACACAAAAUUAGACAGUGUUGUAUUUUAAACUGUCAUAUAAGGAGACAUGAUGACUAAAUGUGAUGUGAUUCCCUGGAUGGGAUCCUAGAUCAGAAAAAGGACAUUCAGUAACAAAUAAGAAAAUCUGAAAAAGAUAGGACUUUUGUUAAUUUUAUCAGUAUUGGUUCAUGUGUAUGUGAGGUGUAUUCAGGAAGAUUCUCAGGAAUAACACCUGUGAGGAAGCAAAAGAAGCAGAAUUGAGCGGAGGGAGAAGUCAAACUAUGAUGCAAGUGUAGCGAAGGUUGUAGCUGAUACCAUUGGCCCUGAAUGUAGGAUGGCCCUAGAGAGAUGCCUAAGGUGAGGUAAGGGAACCCACCUUGUCCCUGAGUGUGGCCUCGCCAUUAGACGUGUACUGCCCAGGGGAGCAAGGCAGCCCCCUUUGGCUGAGAGCAGUUACUGGGAGAGACUCAGUCCUGAGCUGGCAGCAGGUAACACUCCUGGCAAUAGAGGAUCGAAUGAGUACCUGUGUGCUGGAAGGAAGGAUCUGGCUGGUGCACUAACAGUAUCCAUUACAAACUCCAGCAACUGGAGAAUCUGGAAAAGGAAGACAUUAUACAAUGCAGAUUUCAGAAUCUCUAGACCUGGCAUAUUCUGGCCUAAGAAUGUUUUUAGUUUUAUGGUAUGCUGGUUUUUAUAUCAGCCCAGAGAUGGCUAUUUUAAAAAUGAAUACACAGAUUAACAGUUAUCUGUAUUCUUUUGAAAUAGAUUCCAGACAAAUUUUUAGAUGCAGAGUACUGAGUGACUUUACGUAGUUUCAUUCUUCGGCAUAGUCUCAUUAAGAGAUUUUUGAGCUCUUAAUCUGAGAAAUCUGAUGCUACCGCCAUCAACUUAUUGCUAUGCUCAUGUAUAGUCAUAUGUCGCUUAAUGUUAGGGAUACACUCUGAGAAAUGCGUUGCUAGGCAAUUUUGUUGUUGUGUAAGCAUCAACAGAGUUGAUGCUUCUACAAACCUAGAUGGUUUAACCUACGGUACAUACCUAGGUUAUAUGGUAUGGCUCAUAACUCCUAGGCUACAAAUCUAUAUAUAAUAGCAUGUUACUGUGCUGAAUACUAUAGGCAAUUGUAACACAGUGGUAAGUAUUUGUGUAUCUAAAUAUAUCCAAACAUAGAAAAAGUACUCAGUGAAAAUAUGGUACAAAAGAUUAAAAAAGCCAAGCAUAGUGUCUCAUGCCUAUAAUUCCAGCCUUUGUAAGGCCGAGGUGGGAGCAUUGCUGGAGUCCAUGAGUUCAACAUAGCAAGACCUGGUCUUUAUAGGGAAAAAAAAAGUUGGUCAGGUAUGGUAGCACGUGCCUGUAGCUCUAUGGGAGGCUAAGGUAAGGAUUACAUGAGCCCAAGAGUGAGAGGCUGCAGUGACCUAUUGUCACACCAUUGUACUCCAGUCUGGGUGACAGAGCAAGACCCUGACUCCUAAAAAUAAGCAAAAGAUUAAAAAUGGCACAUCUGUGUAGGACACUUACUGUGAAUGGAACUUGCAGGACUGGAGUUUCUCUGGGUGAGUGAGUGAGUGGUGAGUGAAUGCGAAGGCCUACAAUGUUACUGUGCACUGCUGUAGAUUUCAGAAACACAAUACUUGGGCUAUAUUGACUUUAUUUUAAUAAAAACAUCAAAAAAAAUUUUUCUUUGAUAAUAAAUUAGCUUGCUAUAACCCUUUUACUUUAUAAAUUUAUAUUGCUUAUUUUUUGGACUCUUGUAAUAACACUUAGCUUAAAAAAGAAACAUUGUAUACUGUACAAAAAAUCUUCAUUAUAUGCUUAUUCUAUUUUUAAAAUUUAAAUUUUUAUUUUUUACUUUUAAGCUUUUUUGUUAAAAACAAAGAUACAAAACAUACACAUUGGCCUGGGCCUACACCAGGUCAGGAUCCUCAAUAUCAGUGUUUUUCACCUCCACAUCUUGUCCCAUUGGAAGGUGUUCAGACACAAUCACAUACACAGAGCUGCUAUCUCCUAUGAUAGCAGUGCCUUCUUCUGCACUAUCUCCUGAAGGACCUGCCUGAGGCUGUUUACAGUUAACUUUUCUUUCUAUAAAGCAGAAGCAGUACACUAUAUUGUUAAAAUGUAUGGUAUUAUAGUAAAUACAUAACCUAGUAGCAUAGUUGUUUAUUAUUAUCAAGCUACAUAUAUAUGUAUACAUAUAUGUAUGUAUACUAUACAUAUACAUAAUACAUACAUAUAUAUAUUAUAUAAUCGUAUGUGCUCUACUUUUCUAUCACUAGGUUUGUUUACAUCAGCAUGACCACAAACACAUGAUUAAUGCAUUCCAUUAUGACAGCUACUAGGUGAUAGGAAUUGUUCAGCUCCAUUUUAAUCUUAUGGGACCAGAGCCGUAUAUGUGGUCCAUUGCUGACAGAAGCAUUAUUAUGAGCUCAUGACUGUAUGUGGUUUUCUUGCUUCACAGUUGUAGGCUUAAAGCAGAAUAAUCUAGUUACGAACAGGAUUUGUAAAUAGGUCAGUGGCUAAUAGAUGUUAGUGUAGGAAAGUGUAAGAUACUAUACUUAUAAAUAAAGACUUUUGAGAAACAAGGUUGUCAGGAAAGCAGCCCAAGUCUUGUGUGUGUUCGCAGUUUUUUAGACCAAUUAAAUGCCGAUCAUCAUUCAAACACUCUGCAUAUGUCUAUGGAAUACUUACCUUGUGCACGUUGCCUAGCAAGGAGCCUAGCAUCUUACAGAAGAAUUAAGACAUGUAGAUGUAAGGAAACACAAUUCAAAAUAGAGUGGUAUGGUGCCAUAGACAUAAAGGUGUGUCAAGUGCUGUGGGAGUUUAGCAAAAGGAAGUUUCUUUCAUGUAAAGUGAUCUAGAACAGUGGAGUUGGUGGAUCUGCAAUGAGGCUUUGAUGGAAGAGGGUAGGAGGUGAGGUUCUGGGAUCUUGGAGAGGGGAGAAAAGUUUAUCACAGAGAAAAGGAACAGGAAAAAAUUUGAAACAAUUAGAAUAUGUUUAUCGAUCACUUGUGAAACAUUGGUGAAUCAGUAACAAGGAUACACUAUAAAAUUUGGAUUCCUGUGCCUCUAAAAACAGUCAGGAGAUGAAAAGUUACAGAAAAUUAUGUCCAUUGCUGUACUAUUAACAAUAGCAAAGGCAUGGAAUCAGACCAGGUGCCCAUCAGUGGUAGAUUGGAUAAAGAAAAUAUGGUACAUAUAUACUAUGGAAUACUCCAUAGCCAUAAAAAAGAAUAAAAUCAUGUCCUUUGCAGCAACAUAGAUUAAGCUAGACACCAUAAUCUUAAGCAAAUUAACACAGCAACAAAAGACCAAACACUGCGUGUUCUCACUUACAAGUGGGAGCUAAACAUUGAGCACCCAUGGACAUAAAUAUGGGAACAGUAGACACUGUGGUCUACUAGCGGGUGGAGGGAAAGGGGGUGAGUUGAAAAGCCACCCAUUGGGUACUAUCCUCACUACCUGGGUGGUGGGAUAUAUACCCCAAACCUCAGCAUCAAGGAAUAUGCCCAUGUAACAAACCUACACACAUACCCCCAUAUCUAAAAUAAAAGUUGAAAUUUAAAAAAAAAGAAAAAGGUUACAAAUUGAUCAUGAGGUUGGAGGAGAUUUCAUAUAAUUCUCAGUUUUCUGUAGUUAGGUUCUCCCACAAACGUUUAAAUCUGUGCGUUACUAAUGUUUCUUAUAAACAGAACAAUAGUGACAAAAACACAUGGGUUACCUUUGGAAGAUGCCAGAGAACCAAUUUAUUUUGAAAACUGAUAAAGGCCAAAAAAAAAAAAAAAUCAAAUGUUUUUCUUGUAUUCUUACACAAGCUAUAUAUCAUGGUAACUAACUAAUGAGAAAUAAUUUGUCUCUGGAAAUAGUCCAGCUAAUAGAUGAAGAUGAAUGAUUGAACUCUAAUACCACCGUUUUGCAAUCCCUAAUGAAAUAAUGGAUCUCAGUGGUGACCAGCAGUGGCUGCUAAUAUAACAAAACGAAAGAUAACCAGACAUAUGCUUCCUGAUGUAAAAAUGCAUUAUCCCUUAUGAAGUACUCUUACCAAAAAAAUCAAACCUGAAUUUGAUCCAGUAUCUAUAUCCAGCCUCCAAGGGACAGAGAAUAUGUUAAAUGAUAUCAAAGACAGGCUAAGAAAGCACAAACCUUUGACUUAAUAUCUUAAACCAAUAAAUUGAGAGAGUGAAGUGGGGAGAGAGGAAAGUGAUUAUAGACAUGGUUAAUUAACAUAUUAGGAAAUUUUAUUAUGGAACCUAUUGAAUCCUGAUUAGAGCAAUUGUUAAAAGUUUUUUGAAAUUUGGCAGAAUUUAUAGUGAUUACAUAUUUGGUAUCAAGGAAUUGUUAUUUACAAUGUUAGGAAUGAGAUAAUGGUAUUGUGGCUAUCUUUAAUAGCAGAAACAAAUGGUAAUAGUUAAGAAUGAAGUGAUAUGAUGCCUUUACUUCGAAAUAAUCCAGUGUGGGAGGAAGCAGGUGAGGGUAUUAGAUGAAGCAAGGUUAAUCUCUCAAGUGUUUCAUUGGUGAAGCUGGGCUCUAGGAACCUGGGAGUUUGUUAAACUUGUUCUCUGGAAAUUUCAACUUUUUUUUUUGUUUCGAGAUGGAGUUUCACACUGUCACUGGGGCUGGAGUGCAGUGGCAUGCUCUGGGCUCACUGCAACCCUGCCUCCCAGGUUCAAGUGAUUCUCUUUGCCUCAGCCUCCCAAGUAGCUGGGAUUACAGGCACCCGCCACUAUGCCCAGCUAAUAUUUUUGUAUUUUUAGUAGAGAUGGGAUUUCACUAUGUUGACCAGGCUGGUCUCAAACUUGUGACCUCAUGAUCUGCCCAGCUUGGCCUCCCAAAAUGCUGGGAUUAUAGGUGUGAGCCACUGCACCUGGCCUAUUAUGACAUUUUUAUUUAUUUAUUUAUUUAUUUUAAAUCAUGGGAAGAUAUCAGCUAAGCAAGAACAUGAUGGAUGUCUAUGAGAUUAUGAGAGACAUGGCAAGGGAGAAUAUGAAUGUGUUUACCACUUUUCUGAAUAGUAAAAUUAGGGACCAUCUUGUAUAAUUUAAAAGAAGUGGACAAUACAAGAAAAUUCUUCUUGACCUUGUAACUUGUUUUUUAAAAUCGGUAAAUGUUUUGGGAAAACUCAUAUUUAGAGAAUUUGAAGAGUCAUUCCUUUUUGAAGCAGACAUCUAUGCUUUAAACUUGUAACAUGAUUCUAGUAUUCCAGAGCUAAGCUAUCAUGUGUAGCCUGGCCUAUUAUAAUUUUCAAAUGUUUCUGUUACAUAAAGUUUUUGAGGUUGUAAGGUAAAUAUGGUUUCUCCACAAGAACAGGAAACCAAACACUGCAUGUUCUCACUCAUAAAUGGGAGUUGAACAAUGAGAACACAUAGACACACACCCGGGCCUGUCUGGGAGAGUGGGUAUAUGGGGAGGGAUAACAUUAGGAGAAAUGCCUAAUGUAGAUGACAGGGUGAUGGAUGCAGCAAACUGCCAUGUUAUAUAUAUAUAACUAUGUAACAAACCUGCACAUUCUACACAUGUACCCCAGAACUUGAAGUAUAAUAAAUAAAUAAAUAAAAUGUAAAAAGGUUUAUUCUACAAGGCACAUACAUUUCUGUUUGAGAGAACAAUAAGCUUAUUAUGAAAAGUAUACUGACAUGGGAUUCAAAAUAUUUCGAAUCCCAAAUCUUUUCUUCUGAAUGUACUAGACAUGAGCCAGUCCUAAAAAAAAAAAAAAGAUAGCCUGAUGCCCUUUUCAGCCUCAGCCCACCUGUACCCAGGUGAAUAAAAAUAAAUAAAUAAAUAUUUUAAAAAAUAUAAAUAUGGUUUCUCAUGGAAUAAUUAAAUUAUUUUCUAUUUACUUUUACUACCCGUUGUUUUAAAAACUAGUUUAUGAAGAUAUAUAUAAUAAGGUACACACUUAGCUGUACCUAAGUGUGCGGCUCAGUGAGUCUAUACACACACAGUGGUAACUGCCACCCUAAAAAGAUACAGAAUAUUUCCUGUAUCCUGGAAGAUUCCUGUAUUGCCCUUUCCUGUUAUCUACUCUGCUAUCCAGAGGUAACCAAUAUUCUGAUUUCUAUCACCAUAGAUUAGUUUUGCUUUUUCUUGAAGUUACAUUUUAUGUCAGGCUUUUGUUAUGUCUUAGAGAUUCAUUCAUGUUUUGCUUAUAUCAGUAGUUUAUUUUUCUUGCUGUUUCCUAUUCCAUUGUUUGUCUCUAUCGCAAUUUACUUAUUCUUCUGUAGGUUAAUAUUUAGUUGUAUUUACCUACUGUGCACCAACUAAGCUACUAUGAACAUUCUUUGGGUAGACAUUAAUGCAUUCCUAUCUCUUGAGAAUUGAUGGGUCAUAAGGCAGGCAUAUUUUUAGUUCUAAACAUAUUGGCAAAUAGUAUUUUCCAAAAUAGUUGUACCAACUUUACAGUGCCACCAGCAAUGUAUGCGAGUUCCACUUGCUCCACAUUCCUUUUUAACACUUGAUUUUGAAGUCUUUUUAAAAUUUUAGCUACUGCAGUGUGCAUUCAGUCCUCGAUUUGAACCAUUGGAACUGUUCUGUCUUUUACAUCAAGAUAAUCUAUCACACUGGUUCUCUUGUAUGUGAUUGCUGGGUCCUAACUAUGACGAAUUCUUCAUUGCAAUUCUUAGACUAAACUAUCGCUUUUUUUCCCUUUCCCAGUUGUCACAGGUAGUACUGAUGGAAUUGGAAAAUCAUAUGCAGAAGAG